AUGGUGAAAAGCAGUAUGACGGACCUCUUACGGUUGGCCAUCUCCGAGUCUCCGUGGCUUGCUGUGUCCUGGAGCCUCCUUUGGCCACUGCUAGCCGCCAAGAUGGAUCUGACAGUCAAGGCAUUGAACAGCAGAAUAAGGCGCUGUUAUGCAGAUUUUGUCUCACAAAAACCCGCCGCAAUCGCAGUGAGUGAGAGGGAUGAGGUCCUGUUAUUCUGUAAUUACACUGCCUCAACAAACAGUGAUCCUUACCUGUUCUGGUACCGGCAGCAUUCCAGCGGCUCCAUGGAAUAUCUCCUCAAGAGAAACCAAUAUAUCAGCACCACAGACAGACUUCCAGGAGACCGGUUUUCCUCGAAGUUGGAUCAUGUGAACCGCACUAUCCAGCUGAAUUUGUUGAAAGCAGAACUUUCAGACUCUGCAGUGUAUUACUGCGCACUGAGCCCCACAGAGACUCGGAACCGGGCUGACCCCGGGCAAAAACUGUCAGAGAGCAAUUGA